UGGGGAAUAUUGCACAAUGGAGGGAACUCUGAUGCAGCGACGCCGCGUGAACGAAGAAGGCUUUCGAGUCGUAAAGUUCUUUUUUAUGGGAAGAUAAUGACGGUACCAUAAGAAAAAGCCCCGGCUAACUACGUGCCAGCAGCCGCGGUAAUACGUAGGGGGCUAGCGUUGUCCGGAAUCACUGGGCGUAAAGGGUUCGCAGGCGGAAAUGCAAGUCAGGUGUAAAAGGCAGUAGCUUAACUACUGUAAGCAUUUGAAACUGCAUAUCUUGAGAAGAGUAGAGGUAAGUGGAAUUUUUAGUGUAGCGGUGAAAUGCGUAGAUAUUAAAAAGAAUACCGGUGGCGAAGGCGGCUUACUGGGCUCAUUCUGACGCUGAGGAACGAAAGCGUGGGUAGCAAACAGG
rnacentral:rRNA from 1 species